AGACUUUCCUCCAGAGAACAUGACCUCUACUGCAAUCAAUGGACUCUGGCGUGAGAAUUUACUCACAUAUGGGAUAUUUGCUGAUAUGAUGAAAUAA
rnacentral:lncRNA from 1 species